GGCACCACCAAGUCUACUUAGGGAUGGAAGGUUGGGUUCUCAAGGAGCUCAUUGGAUCCUGGUUUGAUGCUUUGGGCUGUUAGAGGCUUUGGAAUGUGUCCAAAGGGUGGCGGGAUUCAUGCCACAGCCUUCAUGACAGUCGGAAGUACUUCCAAAAUCCCAUGAUGAUUUGUGUGUGAGGAAAAAGGAGGCUGUGGUCUGUAAAGGAAAGUUGUUCUGGAAGCACUGAGGGUACCUACAGAUCUCACUUUGAGAAUUAGAACAAGGGUGGAUCACUGAGCCCAUUUGGCUGGACCCCAAUUAGUAUUUGGGAAAACAGACCAGAAGGAGCAAGUUCUUACUCAAAUUCACACCACCAAUAAGUAACAGAACUAGGACGGAGCUCAGGUUUCUCUUGAUUCAUAGUCCAGGAUUCCUUUGGCCACAGAAAUAGAAUUAUGAACCGAGUAAGGCAGCCCUUCUCAGUGGAUUCUGCAUUUCUAAAAGCUCUCAAGUGAUGCUGGACCUAAGGACCACACUUUGAGAAACAGAGAUGUCUGACGUCAGUUUCACUUGCAAGGAAGCCAGAUGGCAUGGGUGCAAAGCUGGAAUUCCUAAUUCUCCAUCCUAUCUGUUUGGCUCCAUUCUUGUUCUGUUUUAUCUUUAUCAAGAUGUCUAAAAGCUUUUGGCCUAGACCCUCAACAAGGAGAUUAUCUGUCAUCCUUUGUCAGCUACUUGCUACCCAGAUCCCAGCCUCUCUCUGCCAUACAGGAAGCUAAAAUCGUGACUGAAACAUACAUUCCAAACACUCAGAAGAGUGUGCCUGUGGCUUUGUGGGGGUGAAUGUGAGAAUGAUCUUUGGUUGUGGGGAGGGACACACUGUGGAAUAUGUCACUCUGUUAGCUGUCUGGGCUGUACAUUUGUGACAGUGUGACAAUUUGUGCCAUUGAUCUAUUUCAGAAUAGGAGGUUCUGAGUGGCAAGAUUGUCAGGGCCUUUGCUUGUUCCACCAGUUCUCACUGAUCUGGAAACUUUUCCUAGAGAUUUGGAGCCUAGACUGAGAGAAAGAACAGAAGGCACCUCUGAGUUACUGACAAAACAAAUAGGCAUCACCAAAUGUGUGCACACAAAAUCUCGUUCUUUCUUCAUCAUCAAUCCCUCCGGCUUUAAUUCAGAAUUGUUCUUUAAAAAAUACAAAUUGACUAUAAGAUUGAUUACAUGCAUUCCAAAUUC
rnacentral:lncRNA from 1 species